rnacentral:rRNA from 1 species
GACGAACGCUGGCGGCGUGCCUAAUACAUGCAAGUAGAACGCUGAAGAGAGGAGCUUGCUCUUCUUGGAUGAGUUGCGAACGGGUGAGUAACGCGUAGGUAACCUGCCUUGUAGCGGGGGAUAACUAUUGGAAACGAUAGCUAAUACCGCAUAACAAUGGAUGACACAUGUCAUUUAUUUGAAAGGGGCAAUUGCUCCACUACAAGAUGGACCUGCGUUGUAUUAGCUAGUAGGUGAGGUAACGGCUCACCUAGGCGACGAUACAUAGCCGACCUGAGAGGGUGAUCGGCCACACUGGGACUGAGACACGGCCCAGACUCCUACGGGAGGCAGCAGUAGGGAAUCUUCGGCAAUGGGGGCAACCCUGACCGAGCAGCGCCGCGUGAGUGAAGAAGGUUUUCGGAUCGUAAAGCUCUGUUGUAAGUCAAGAACGAGUGUGAGAGUGGAAAGUUCACACUGUGACGGUAGCUUACCAGAAAGGGACGGCUAACUACGUGCCAGCAGCCGCGGUAAUACGUAGGUCCCGAGCGUUGUCCGGAUUUAUUGGGCGUAAAGCGAGCGCAGGCGGUUUGAUAAGUCUGAAGUUAAAGGCUGUGGCUCAACCAUAGUUCGCUUUGGAAACUGUCAAACUUGAGUGCAGAAGGGGAGAGUGGAAUUCCAUGUGUAGCGGUGAAGUGCGUAGAUAUAUGGAGGAACACCGGUGGCGAAAGCGGCUCUCUGGUCUGUAACUGACGCUGAGGCUCGAAAGCGUGGGGAGCGAACAGGAUUAGAUACCCUGGUAGUCCACGCCGUAAACGAUGAGUGCUAGGUGUUGGAUCCUUUCCGGGAUUCAGUGCCGCAGCUAACGCAUUAAGCACUCCGCCUGGGGAGUACGACCGCAAGGUUGAAACUCAAAGGAAUUGACGGGGGCCCGCACAAGCGGUGGAGCAUGUGGUUUAAUUCGAAGCAACGCGAAGAACCUUACCAGGUCUUGACAUCCCGAUGCUAUUUCUAGAGAUAGAAAGUUACUUCGGUACAUCGGUGACAGGUGGUGCAUGGUUGUCGUCAGCUCGUGUCGUGAGAUGUUGGGUUAAGUCCCGCAACGAGCGCAACCCCUAUUGUUAGUUGCCAUCAUUCAGUUGGGCACUCUAGCGAGACUGCCGGUAAUAAACCGGAGGAAGGUGGGGAUGACGUCAAAUCAUCAUGCCCCUUAUGACCUGGGCUACACACGUGCUACAAUGGUUGGUACAACGAGUUGCGAGUCGGUGACGGCAAGCUAAUCUCUUAAAGCCAAUCUCAGUUCGGAUUGUAGGCUGCAACUCGCCUACAUGAAGUCGGAAUCGCUAGUAAUCGCGGAUCAGCACGCCGCGGUGAAUACGUUCCCGGGCCU